rnacentral:rRNA from 1 species
CACGUAGGGCGCAAGCGUUGUCCGGAAUUAUUGGGCGUAAAGAGCUCGUAGGCGGUCUGUUACGUCUGCUGUGAAAACCCAGGGCUUAACCCUGGGCUUGCAGUGGAUACGGGCAGACUAGAGGCAGGUAGGGGAGAAUGGAAUUCCCGGUGUAGCGGUGAAAUGCGCAGAUAUCAGGAGGAACACCGGUGGCGAAGGCGGGUCUCUGGGCCGAUACUGACGCUGAGGAGCAAAAGCGUGGGGAGCGAACAGG